UACGUAGGGUGCGAGCGUUGUCCGGAAUUAUUGGGCGUAAAGGGCUCGUAGGCGGUUUGUCGCGUCGGGAGUGAAAACUCAGGGCUUAACCCUGAGCCUGCUUCCGAUACGGGCAGACUAGAGGUAUGCAGGGGAGAACGGAAUUCCUGGUGUAGCGGUGAAAUGCGCAGAUAUCAGGAGGAACACCGGUGGCGAAGGCGGUUCUCCUGGG
rnacentral:rRNA from 1 species